UAGAGUCUCCAGUCUCUCUCAGCUCCUCCUGAAUCUACAGACAUAAAUGAUGAUCUCUUCGGUUCUCUUGUUUCUUUUGAUGAUCUGAGAGAAUCUGUUCAUCAGCUGAGAGACAAACUGGAGGAUUUCUGUAAAGAAGAGCUGAAGAAGAUCUCAGACAGAGGUAAAGUCCUGGAGAUUGAUCUGCUCUCAGAAACCAGUCCAUCAUCAUCUCAUAUCAGGGAGAACAUCAUAUCAGAAAUGUCUUAGGAAUGAUGCAGGAUCAUGAGAAUAACUCUGUUUCCACAGUCACCUUCACCAACAUUGUUCCCAGAACCAGGAACCACUUCCUACAAUAUUCCCGUCAGUUCACUCUGGAUCUGAACACAGUGAAUGAACUUCUUCGUCUGUCUGAGAACAACAGAA